UACGAAGGUGGCGAAUGUUGCUCGGAUUCACUGGGCGUAAAGCGUCGGUAGGAGGCUGUUUAAGUCAGGUGUGAAAGCCCCGUGCUCAACAUGGGAAUUGCACUUGAAACUAGACGGCUUGAAGGUAUGAGAGGAUAGCGGAAUAACUGGUGUAGAGGUAAAAUUCAUAGAUAUCAGUUGGAACACCCAUGGCGAAGGCAGCUAUCUGGCAUAUUCUUGACUCUGAGCGACGACAGCGUGGGGAGCAAACAGG
rnacentral:rRNA from 1 species